AACUAGGUCCAGUGCUCUUUUGGUAUGCAGUCACCAUGUCAUCCAUGUAUUCAUUUGAAGAGUAUGUUGCAGUAUGGACUGCUUACUUGAAAACUCCGUUAAUCAAGAAUGAAGAGAUUGUCAGCUCCUGCUCUAAUGCAGUGUCUCAGUAUGCAAUAGGCCAUUGAUGUCACCACAUCCAUGAAACUUCUGCUGAAGCCAACUUUAUAGGAAGUCAUGUCUCAGCACUGGAAAAAACAGGGAAACAGCCACAGUUCCCUUUGCAGGUUUUCUAUCGAAUAAGCCCAGAAAGGACCCCCUGGGAAUCUUGUGCACUUUUGCCUGGGUAUGUAACAUUGCCUCAGUUAAAGAAUUUGUUCCAGUUUCAGUCUUGCUUAGCAUCCUGAACUGGGAGUCCUAGAAAUUAGGAAUCCCAUCCAGAAAGAUAAUUAAGUAACUACCUGAAACUUUUAAAAAAAGUUCCAUUAAAAAGGGAAAUAAAAAAUUUGCAUCCUAUGUGUCCCAUCUGUAGUAAUAAUUAUAGUAUUUAAGCGCUUACUAUGUGUCAAGCACUGUGUAUUGAGUCAUAUUUAGUGCCUGUAUGAUUAGUGUGAAUAAA